GUGCUCACUUCGGCAGCACAUAUACUAAAAUUGGAACGAUACAGAGAAGAUUAGCAUGGCCCCUGUGCAGAGAUGACACACAAAUUCAUGAAGCGUUCCAUAUUUUU
ensembl:snRNA U6 U6 spliceosomal RNA